UCGGGAAUUUUGGGCAAUGGGCGAAAGCCUGAUCCAGCAAUGCCGCGUGAGUGAAGAAGGCCUUCGGGUUGUAAAGCUCUUUUGUCAGGGAAGAAACGGUGAGAGCUAAUAUCUCUUGCUAAUGACGGUACCUGAAGAAUAAGCACCGGCUAACUACGUGCCAGCAGCCGCGGUAAUACGUAGGGUGCAAGCGUUAAUCGGAAUUACUGGGCGUAAAGCGUGCGCAGGCGGUUUUGUAAGUCUGAUGUGAAAUCCCCGGGCCCAACCUGGGAAUUGCAUUGGAGACUGCAAGGCUAGAAUCUGGCAGAGGGGGGUAGAAUUCCACGUGUAGCAGUGAAAUGCGUAGAUAUGUGGAGGAACACCGAUGGCGAAGGCAGCCCCCUGGGUCAAGAUUGACGCUCAUGCACGAAAGCGUGGGGAGCAAACAGGAUUAGAUACCCCGGUAGUCCCUGAGCGGGCUGGCAAGGCGCAU
rnacentral:rRNA from 1 species